UACGGAGGGUGCAAGCGUUAUCCGGAUUUACUGGGUUUAAAGGGUGCGUAGGUGGGUCUGUAAGUCAGUGGUGAAAUCUUCAAGCUUAACUUGGAAACUGCCAUUGAUACUAUAGUCUUGAAUUAUCUGGAGGUGAGCGGAAUAUGUCAUGUAGCGGUAGAAAUGACUUAGAUAUGACAUAGAACACCAAUUGCGAAGGCAGCUCACUACGGAUGUAUUGACACUGAGGCACGAAAGCGUGGGGAUCAAACAGGG
rnacentral:rRNA from 1 species